UAGUCGUAGACAGGUAUUUUUAGCAGUAAAGCGCGUCCCCGUUUUCAUUCGGCAUAGGCGACCCGGGCCAUACAGUUUGCUCCAAAAUCAGCACACUCAGUGUUAACCUGCAAAACAGUAAGGGGGGGGAUAGUUUUACAGUCAGCUGAUAUUACCAUCGUACCCAGAGACAAACAACUGUAGGAGCUGUCGAGAGUAAAUCUCACUGCCACAGGUUUCCCUCUCCCUCUCUAUCUCUAUCUCUCUCUACCCGGGGACAAGGUUGGAAAAGCGGGGGAUGAAAAGACUGUACACUCGAAGAUAAAUAGCCUUCGGUUCGUCAAACAGAAACGUAAACAGGGACGUCACGCUUGUGUUGCUGAUGGAGUAUCCUGUUUCGUGUUGCCGUUGCAGCAGGAAAAAGCCUGUCAUCGGGUCACAUCAGCGACCGGACAACUGCCUUAGAGAGUGACGUCACAUGCACGUCUUGCUCCAGCAGCUUUACUGUACACACCGGGGACACGAUUUCUAUGACUGGAAGAUUUUCAGAGCAGGGUUUGUCACAAGGGGACAUUGUUUACUGUAAACUGUGAUGUGCGGCAUCUUCCUUGCAGCAGGCAAAACAACAGCUUUUGAUGACAUAA